rnacentral:rRNA from 1 species
GACGAACGCUGGCGGCGUGCCUAAUACAUGCAAGUCGAACGCAGUGGGGACGGGUGAGUAACACGUGGGUAACCUCCCAUCAGAGGGGAUAACACUUGGAAACAGGUGCUAAACCGAUACUGAUGGAUGAACCCGCGGUGCAUUAGCUAGUUGGUGAGGUAACGGCGCACCAAGGCCACGAUGCAUAGCGGACCUGAGAGGAUGACCGGCCACACUGGGACUGAGACACGGCCCAGAGGCCUACGGGAGGCAGCAGUGGGGAAUCUGCGGCAAUGGACGAAAGUCUGACCGAGCAACGCCGCGUGAGUGAAGAAGGUUUUCGGGUCGUAAAGCUCUGUUGUUAGAGAAGCGGUAUCUGACGAGAAAGCCACGGCUAACUACGUGCCAGCAGCCGCGGUAAUUC